rnacentral:lncRNA from 1 species
GUUCAGUAGAAAGAGCAAUGAACUUUUAGUCAAAAAACAAGGUUUGAGUCACAAUUCCUUCACUUAACAGUUGAGUGACAUCACCAUGAUUCAGGCUGAGCCUCAUUGCCUAUGGAGAACUUUGUAGUCAAUGCUGACUGAAUGGUCGACCAAGGUGUUAUAAGAGGAAUUCCUGCAAUAGUGUUUGGACAGCUUGAGCAGUGGCCAAGGAGACUAAGCAGAGAUGCCGGCCCCUGCCCUGGAUGCUGGCCCUGGCCCUGGAUGUCGGCAGCCAUAGCCCCCAGCUCUUCUUAGGCCUGGUCUUCACAGCAAGGAUGCUCCUACUGGAGGAAGCCUGAAGUUCUUCCUGCCACAGAAAUCCAAGAGUUUCCUAGCUCUGGACCAAGCACCUGGAAUGACGAUCUAGCUAACAGGUGGGUAACUGGCUGCCUCAAUAAGAACAGUAAGGUGCAUGGGAAAAACCACUGGAUUUGCUAUUAGAAUACCUGAUUUUGAGUGCAAGCAUUGACACUCAUGAACUGUGCUAGCUUGGGAAAGCCAUUUAAUUUCCUUGGGUCUCAGUUUCCUUAUAUGUAAAAUAAGGGGAUUGGGCUAGAUAAAGCCCCUUCCAGGUCUAAAUCUAUGCUUAAGAUCCUAUUACUAGAUCAAUCAAUUGAUUGAUAUAUCAGGCACUGGGGAUACAAAACAGUUUCUUGUUCUUUCUAAGUUCCUAGAGCUUAUGUUCUAAAGGGAAAUUCAAUAUACAUAUGUAUGGAUAUAUAUAAAAUACACAUAAGAAACAAGGUAUGGUCAGGGGCAACACAAUGGAAACACCAAUGGCACAGUGGAUAUAAUGCUAGGCUUGGAGUCAAGAAGACGUGAGUUUAAAUCUGGCAUCAGACACUCAUUAGGUUUGUGACUCUGGGCAAAUCACUUCAUCCAGUUUGCCUAAAUUUCUUCAUCUGUAAAAUGAGCUGGAGAAGGAAGUGGCAAACCACUUCAGUACCUUUGCCAAGAAAACCC